UUGGUGGCUGUCGUAAGUUCACACGAAUCUGCUGAUGACGUUUCACAUGGACAGACAACUACACAUUAUUGUAUUUUUUAUUGUAUUUUUUGCGUGUGUUAUUUUUAUUUCAUUAUUAUGAAAAUCAUGAUCAUUAUUAUUGAGCCUUGGCUGGCAGUCUGUUUUGAAUUUGUUUUAUUGAAAAAACAAACACACAACGCAUAUUGUGUUGCGCCUGCGCAGUGACGUUCUUUUCCAACCGCCUUUCCAGUCAAGAGGUCAAGAAUGUUCCUGUCUGCAUCAGCUAUCCAUCUGAAAAAGAAAAGCUGGCACUCUCAAAGGAGAUUGUGUUGUUGGUUUAUGGUCUCAUUUGGUCAAAAAGAGGGACAUGUACCGAGCUUUUUUUUUUUGAUGGGCCAUCACACAGUGGAUUUAUAAAAAUAAGAUUACAGAACAUCAGACGGUAGCUUCAACAGAGUUGAAGUGGGAGGACAUCAUCAAUAAAGAAUGCCAUUGGCCAAACCUUCAGUCAUCAAAGAAGAUGGAUACAGGGGGACAUCAAGUUUUCCAGACUUACCGAUGGGAAAGAAGAAAUGGGAAUGUGACAAUUAUUGAGAAACUCAGGGAAAAAGCAUCUUUAGAGAAGAAAAUGGACAUCAGACAUUUAUUGAAGAAAGCUGACAGUCAACAUAAUGGUAUGAUUUCCUAUCUCUGUUCCAAAUGUUUAAAAUGUAACAUUCAA